GGGACACCCUGGGGACAUUGUGGCCUUGGUGACACCCUUGGGGACACCCUGGGGACACCCUGGGGACGUUGUGGCCCUGGUGACACCCUUGGGGACACCCCGGGGACGCCCUUGGGGACAUCUCCGGGGACGUUGUGGCCUUGGGGACACCCUUAGGGACACCCUGGGGACAUUCCCGGGGACAUUGUGGCCUUGGGGACACCCUUGGGGACACCCUGGGGACAACCCUGGAGACAUUGUGGCCUUGGGGACACCCUGGGCCAGUCCCGCGUUACCAUGGCAACCACAACGCGCCAUCUUAACUCCGGGCACGCGUACCCUUUCCUGCCAACCACUUCCGCCCCCCUCAGCCAAUCACAACCUCCCGCCUUCCCCACGUGACUCCCGGUAACCGAACAGGGAAGCGCCGCCGUUACCGACCCUACCGGAGCCCGUGACUCGCCCGCGGCCUCAGCAGCGUUGGCGACACCCCCGGGGACACUUUGGGGACACUUUGGGGACAAUUUGGGGAGUCACGAGCCCGCUGCAGCCACGUUGCCAUGGAAACAACCCCAACGCCGCGGCCGCCAUAUUUGACAUCUUGGCACCGCCGCCAUCUUAACUUUGGGCAUAACUUCCGCCCUCUCCGCCAAUCACAACCUCCCGUUCUCCCCACGUGACUCCCGGUAACCGAACAGGGAAGCGCCGCCGUUACGGACCCUACCGGGGCCCGUGACUCGCCCGCGGCCUCAGCAGCGUUGGCGACACCCCCGGGGACACUUUGGGGACAAUUUGGGGAGUCACGAGCCCGCUGGAGCCACGUUGCCAUGGAAACAACCCCAACGCCGCGGCCGCCAUACUUGACAUCUUGGCACCGCCGCCAUCUUAACUUUGGGCAUAACUUCCGCCCUCUCCGCCAAUCACAACCUCCCGUUCUCCCCACGUGACCCCCGGUACGGCCGAACCCGGAAGUGCCGCCGCCGCCAUGGAUCCCGCCGCUCCCCCCCCAAAACGCCGCGGGCCCGCCCGCUUGGCCGAUCCGCGGCCUCUGUUCGAGGACACGAGCGCUACCGGGGCCUCACCGGGCCGCGGCUUCGGGGCUCCGCCGCCGCCGCCUUCGGCCUCGGCCGCCGCCGCCUCCUCCUCCUCGGCCGCGUUCGGGGCGCCCGCGGCGUUCCUGAGCGAGCCCGUGAGCUCCCUGGCCGCGGCCUACGGGAGCAGCCUCGCCUCGCACGUGGAGGGCAACGUGAGCGACCGGGGAUAACGGGAAUAACCGGGGAUAACCGGGAAUAACGGGGGGAUAACCGGGAAUAACGGGGGGAAUAACUGCGGAAAAAACUGGGAAUAACGGGGGGGAAAACGGGGGGAAAUAACGGGAGAUAACGGGGAAAUAACCGGGAAUAAUGGGGGGGAAUAACGGGGGGAAUAACCGGGAAUAACGGGGGGAAUAACCGGGGGAUAACCGGGAAUAACGGGGGGGGGGGAUAACUGGGGAAAAAACUGGGAAUAACGGGGGGAUAACCGGGGGGAUAACCGGGAAUAACGGGGAAAAAUGGGGGAGAAUAACCGGGAAUAAUGGGGGGGAUAACCGGGAAUAAUGGGGGAAUAACCGGGAAUAACGGGGGGAUAACUGGGGAAAAAACUGGGAAUAACGGGGGGAAAAACGGGGGGAAAUAACGGGAGAUAAUGGGGAAAUAACCGGGAAUAACGGGGGGGAUAACCGGGAAUAACGGGGAAUAAUGGGGGGAAAUAACCGGGAAUAACGGGGGGAGAUAACGGGGGGGAUAACCGGGAAUAACCGGGAAUAACAGGGGGGAUAACGGGGGGGAAUAACGGGAGAUAACGGGGGGAAUAACCGGGAAUGAUGGGGGGAAAUAACCGGGAAUAACGGGGGGGAUAACGGGGGAAAUAACCGGGAAUAAUGAGGGGAAUAACCGGGGAUAACGGGGGGGAUAACCGGGAGUAACGGGGGGGAAUAACCGGGGAUAACGGGG
ensembl:lncRNA